GUGGGGAAUUUUGGACAAUGGGGGCAACCCUGAUCCAGCCAUGCCGCGUGCGGGAAGAAGGCCUUCGGGUUGUAAACCGCUUUUGUCAGGGAAGAAAUCCUUUGGGUUAAUACCUCGGAGGGAUGACGGUACCUGAAGAAUAAGCACCGGCUAACUACGUGCCAGCAGCCGCGGUAAUACGUAGGGUGCGAGCGUUAAUCGGAAUUACUGGGCGUAAAGCGUGCGAAAGCGGUUUUGUAAGAUCGAUGUGAAAUCCCCGGGCUCAACCUGGGAACUGCAUUGGUGACUGCAAGGCUGGAGUGCGGCAGAGGGGGAUGGAAUUCCGCGUGUAGCAGUGAAAUGCGUAGAUAUGCGGAGGAACACCGAUGGCGAAGGCAAUCCCCUGGGCCUGCACUGACGCUCAUGCACGAAAGCGUGGGGAGCAAACAGGAUUAGAAACCCCGGUAGUCC
rnacentral:rRNA from 1 species